UACAGAGGGGGCAAGCGUUGUUCGGAAUUACUGGGCGUAAAGGGCGCGUAGGUGGCCUGUUAAGUCGAACGUGAAAUCCCCGGGCUCAACCCGGGAACUGCGUCCGAGACUGGCAGGCUCGAAUCCGGGAGAGGGAUGUGGAAUUCCAGGUGUAGCGGUGAAAUGCGUAGAUAUCUGGAGGAACACCGGUGGCGAAGGCGGCAUCCUGGACCGGUAUUGACGCUGAGGCGCGAAAGCCAGGGGAGCAAAGCGGG
rnacentral:rRNA from 1 species